rnacentral:miRNA from 1 species
AGGACUACACUGCGCGGGGGACU